GCCAGGGCUUUCUCCUCAACUCAAGUUUAUAAGUUUUCGAUUGGUUUGUGAGGCCAAUAGCGAUACUUCUUGUCUAAUUUGGUUUCUGGAAAGACUUCAGUCACUUCCUCAAUGGUCAUCUGAUCAAAUGGAAUUAUGUUCUUCAUCUUCUCCAGCUCUUUUUCAUAUUCUUCAGUCCUGGCCUUUGAGAAGGACAAAAACUCAGCACAGCUUUUCACAUCUUCUUUUUCCUCAGCAUCCACCUGGACAGUGUAUUUAUCCUCUGGCACAGGAACCUUCAGGACAUUAAACUUCUUCUCAAAGUCAUCUACCAAACCAGCCUUUGCCACAUUGGCCUAUGUAAGCCCAAUCGAUAGCAGGUGGUUUCUCAGGAAGAGUAGCCAACCUGGAGACCUACCUACCAAUCACUUAGCAAAAGGUCUUCCUCACCUGAAACAAGCUGGUGUGGAAUGGCUGGUGGCCCUGUUCAAAGUCCCUGAUAAUUUCUUCACCUACACAAGUGGUCAAGGAGUAAACCUUCCUAUGAGCAUGUAAAAUGGCAGCUCUCUGCAGAUUCCUAUUAUGGUGCCAAAGGUUUACACUAAAUGCCACACUGGUCUUUUGCGAAAUGGAGUCUUUCCAGCCAAGAACGGGGAUCCCCAUGCCCAGUAUAGACUUGCCUCCUUUAAUGCCUUUGAAAAGAUCCAUUCUCCUGAGUCAUCCAAGAGGACAGAGAACAGUAUGAGCUUUGAGCUGAACAGAAGACUCUCCCUCCUUGGACUGGUGAGAGGUGGCUCUCUAAGUGCCUUAUAUGUUCAACCUUCAAUUAAUUCCACUCACACCAUACCCCCACUGGUAUUGAAGACAAAUAGUGCUGCAGUCUUUGGGUACAGCUUCAGUGUUUACUUCUGGUACAGCCAAGGAUCUACUGCUCAGAAUCUGAGAACUCUAAAAAUUAUUUUGGAGAAGAAAUUUGUGGCUCUCCACCUCUGCUUUCUCUUGGCCACAGAGAAGGAGGGCCGCAGUCAUCAGUAAUGGUUAAGAUAGCCGAAACAAGGAGAGAAAGCAUACAAAGCCAGAAUUCCCCUUUAAUCUGACUUUAGAUACCCUGCUAAGUAAAGUUAAUUGCAACUGUUACUCAUCAAAAAUGGUAGGACAACCCCCAUCUCCCACAACCACCACACCAAUAUCCCCUCAGCCCUUACCAUCCUGCCAACCACUGGUGUCUGCCUCUCUCUGCAUUUGGGCUUUCUCUGGCCUUAAGCUCCUCGACACUUUUACUCUGCCAUACAUACAUACAUGUAGCCAGAAAUGCCCAGAACGAAAUGCCUCCCUAUAAGGAUAGCCUUUGACCAGUUCUGACAGAACUUGGUAUGUAAAUAUCUUAAUGUCCUUGUCCCUCAGUUGGGAUGUCUCUGAGGUGUUGUUCUGCUCUGAGUCCAGGGUCCCUAGUGAGAUUAAAACUACAGUUGCCUACAGUGGUAAUAACACAACUUUCUGUUAGGAUUCCAUUGUUUGUUUCACUUCCCUCCCCCUCUACUGAGUCUCCCUCCUGAGAUCACACCCUCAGUAAACUACUUGCACUUGAAUCUAUGUCUGUGGGUUGACUUCUGAGACAGUUUGGGGAUGCAAACUCUAAAAGAUGCACUGCUUUGUUAGGUCACACACACACACACACACACACACACACACACACAUUCCACCCUCUUUUGUUUUUAAAGAUUUUAUUUAUCCAUUCAUGAGAGAGGCAGAGACACAGGCAGAGGGAGAAGCAGGCUCCAUGCAGGGAGCCCCACGUGGGACUCGAUCCCAGGUCUCCAGGAUCAGGCCCUGGGCUGAAGGCGGCGCUAAACUGCUGAGCCACCCGGGCUGCCCAUCCACCCUCUUUCAUACACUGCCAUUCAUGGACGUUAGCCUUUUGUGGCAGCUUUUCCCUUUUAUGAUUCAAUUUUACUUGAUUUCAUUUGAAUAUAAAUGUCACAGCUGGCCCUUGCCUCAUCCCCCAAAACGUGCAUCAGUUCUCCCUGAACCACGG
rnacentral:lncRNA from 12 species